AAGUAUAGCUCUUUAAAUACAUAUAUAUUUUUAUAUAAUUCCACCGCCACCACCAGAGCUCAACAGCUCCGAAGAAUCAAGCUCUCCUCUGUUACUGCUCAACAGCCCCAAUUCCUUUGGAUUUCUGGACUUCUCACCAAAAGCUCAGCCCAGCAGAGUUGGGAACUUUCCUCACGUGGAAGGGAACUACGCGGUACAUGUCUACAUCCCAGUUUAUAUACCACCAGCACCAAGGAAAGAGAUGGCCAUUUUUUAACUAGCAAUUUCAGAUCCAUUAGCAAAUGCCAUGAGUUUGAGUAAAUGAAUACAUAAGAUAUUUUGUAAGGAAAACAGAAAAAAAGCAGAAUUUACCGAAUGAAGAAAGGCCUGAUUUUUUGAAUUCAAAUGGGCUCUUUUCCCCUGUUGUUCUUUAUCUCUGUCAAUUUGACAAGGUUACCAAUGUAUGCAACUGUAUCAAAUAUAAAAUGGUACACUAAUCCUCAAUUCCUGAAUGAACAAUACCGGUAACGAACUCAUGAUCAAAAAGAUCAAUUUUGAUUUACAAAAUAGGUAACUAGGGCAGAUGACUUGCAUUUACACAAUCAAUCAAAAUUGCGUUUUACAGUCUCAAUUUGAGCUACAAAACUUCAGCAGUAAAUGAAUACAUAAGAUAUUGUUGCAAGAAAAACAGAAAAAAAGCAUAAUUUACUGCACACACGAAGGCUCCUCUAAUGCCUUACAAAUUGUCGAUUGUCACCUCCACCUUUUUGUUGAAUACAUUUCGACUUCCCUCUACUUUACACAUCUUCUUCCUGAACUUUGAUGCACUGCUGUCUAAGUUCAAAUUCACCUUGGAUGGAUUAGAAAAGCAAAAAGUAGCUGCAACCGCCUGUCCAAUUCCAACUAAAUCGGAUGCCACAAAACAUAUUGUAGCAUAAUAAAUCCAAGGAUUUUUAGAGAAAUUCUAAUUUCAGCACUAGUUCAUAUUGUUGGAAGAAAUAUGUUUUUUUUUUUUUAAUGAAAGGGAGGAAGAAAUAUGUAAAUGACCAAGAGGUGAUGCUAUUUAGGGUUGGACCAGAACUUUUACUUUCAAUUGAUAGGUGAAAUGCAUGUAUCGACUGUUUUUAUACUGAGUAAAUGUACCAAGUGAUCUAAAAUACAGUGUGGUGUUCUAUGCUAUAAAACACGGACAAGGAGAUACCCCAAACAAAAACAUAUAGUCACAGGCUGUUGUGAAAACCAAACA